GUCGCUCCUACCGAUUGAGUGAUCCGGUGAAUAUUUCGGACCGAGACCACUUGGGUUUCCAGGUGUGUUUUGGAAAGUUGUGUGAACCUUAUCACUUAGAGGAAGGAG
rnacentral:rRNA from 1 species